rnacentral:rRNA from 1 species
AGUGAACGCUGGCGGUAGGCCUAACACAUGCAAGUCGAACGGCAGCACAGGAGAGCUUGCUCUCUGGGUGGCGAGUGGCGGACGGGUGAGGAAUACAUCGGAAUCUACUUUUUCGUGGGGGAUAACGUAGGGAAACUUACGCUAAUACCGCAUACGACCUACGGGUGAAAGCAGGGGACCUUCGGGCCUUGCGCGAUGGAAUGAGCCGAUGUCGGAUUAGCUAGUUGGCGGGGUAAAGGCCCACCAAGGCGACGAUCCGUAGCUGGUCUGAGAGGAUGAUCAGCCACACUGGAACUGAGACACGGUCCAGACUCCUACGGGAGGCAGCAGUGGGGAAUAUUGGACAAUGGGCGCAAGCCUGAUCCAGCCAUACCGCGUGGGUGAAGAAGGCCUUCGGGUUGUAAAGCCCUUUUGUUGGGAAAGAAAUCCAGCCGGCUAAUACCUGGUUGGGAUGACGGUACCCAAAGAAUAAGCACCGGCUAACUUCGUGCCAGCCGCCGCCGUAAAAC